AUGAACGCUGGCGGCGUGCCUAAUACAUGCAAGUCGAGCGAACAGAUGAGGAGCUUGCUCCUCUGACGUUAGCGGCGGACGGGUGAGUAACACGUGGAUAACCUACCUAUAAGACUGGGAUAACUUCGGGAAACCGGAGCUAAUACCGGAUAAUAUAUUGAACCGCAUGGUUCAAUAGUGAAAGUCGGUUUUGCUGUCACUUAUAGAUGGAUCCGCGCCGCAUUAGCUAGUUGGUAAGGUAACGGCUUACCAAGGCAACGAUGCGUAGCCGACCUGAGAGGGUGAUCGGCCACACUGGAACUGAGACACGGUCCAGACUCCUACGGGAGGCAGCAGUAGGGAAUCUUCCGCAAAGGGCGAAAGCCUGACGGAGCAACGCCGCGUGAGUGAUGAAGGUCUUCGGAUCGUAAAACUCUGUUAUUAGGGAAGAACAAAUGUGUAAGUAACUAUGCACGUCUUGACGGUACCUAAUCAGAAAGCCACGGCUAACUACGUG
rnacentral:rRNA from 1 species